rnacentral:rRNA from 1 species
AUAUAUCGGAACGUGCCCAGUCGUGGGGGAUAACGUAGCGAAAGCUACGCUAAUACCGCAUACGAUCUACGGAUGAAAGCGGGGGAUCGCAAGACCUCGCGCGAUUGGAGCGGCCGAUAUCAGAUUAGGUUGUUGGUGAGGUAAAAGCUCACCAAGCCUGCGAUCUGUAGCUGGUCUGAGAGGACGACCAGCCACACUGGAACUGAGACACGGUCCAGACUCCUACGGGAGGCAGCAGUGGGGAAUUUUGGACAAUGGACGCAAGUCUGAUCCAGCAAUGCCGCGUGCAGGACGAAGGCCUUCGGGUUGUAAACUGCUUUUGUACGGAACGAAACGGUCUGCUUUAAUACAGUGGGCUAAUGACGGUACCGUAAGAAUAAGCACCGGCUAACUACGUGCCAGCAGCCGCGGUAAUACGUAGGGUGCGAGCGUUAAUCGGAAUUACUGGGCGUAAAGCGUGCGCAGGCGGUUAUAUAAGACAGAUGUGAAAUCCCCGGGCUCAACCUGGGACCUGCAUUUGUGACUGUAUAGCUAGAGUACGGUAGAGGGGGAUGGAAUUCCGCGUGUAGCAGUGAAAUGCGUAGAUAUGCGGAGGAACACCGAUG